CCAGAAUGGAAUUAGGAUAGGACAUCGUAUCACGUUUAUUUUUCUUGUUUGCAUUUUCUCAAUGGUAGGUUUAAAAUUAAUUAUUUUCCCAUCCCGAGAGUCAAUGACAAACAAUAACUGCCAGCAGAGGGUGAUGUUUAACAGUGUGAGAGAGCUGAUGGAUGUUAUGGUAAAUGAUAAUUAGAGAAUGUUAACAUGCAUUCGUCACUGCUGGCAAGUUCAGCAGUUUAUCGGCUGGUGUUUUCCAGCGAUUGACUGGAGCGUUCAUUGAAGUAGAACUUGGCAUUCUUUGAGCCUGACAGGAAGUGUUAGUGCGGGGGUGGCUGAAUGCUACCAUGGACGUGAACUGCAAGGAAGGAAAGGAUGAAGAAUGCUGUAAGGAACAAGGGUGCACCAGACAUAAGGAAAAUAUUUUGAACAUUCAACAAUAGUUUGGUUUUAGCAAAUUACCGAAAUUAACUCCAAAUGCUCCAGUCCCAGAGACGUUCCAUCAGGUACAAUCCCAAAGAAAAGAAUAUGAUGUACCUGGACGCGCUCUCUAAACCUGUGCGGACCAACUGGCUGGAGUUUUCAGUGGCAUAUUCAAACUCUCACUACUGUAGUAGAAGAUCCCCGCCUGCUUACAAGAGUCAAGAGUCAAGAGUCAAGAGUCAAUUUAAUUACCAUCAGGAACAAGGUAGAGGAGCCUGAUAAGCAUUACCUCAAGGUUCAAGAACAGCUUCUCCUCAUCAACCAUCAGCUCUUGCCCCACCCUGCACCACAACUCUACCUCCCAGGGGCGGAAAUCGCUGUCAAAACGGGGGGGGGACACAAUUUUUUCACACACACACGCGCACACACACACACACACACACACACACACAAGCCGUGCCAGGCGAUGUAAGGCCCGGCGAACGGGCCGAUUGAGCCCUUAGAAAGCGUCUGAUACCCGCUUGAAUCUUUCAAAAGCUACAAUGUGAUAAAUAACACUUAAAUAAAUAAAACUGAAGCAAAUAAAGGCAAACAGAAGAACCAACAGAGUGACCUGAAUGAGGGACUUACCUGCAAGUCAGCCAGGAAACCUGUUUGACCGGAUUCCUUAAUGAUCUGACCCAUUUAAAUCCGAUACCCAUUUAAAUCUUUCCCAUCCACCAAUACAUCCAAUUAGUUCAAAUGGUAAUUGUACCCACAACAGACAGCUUUGCGAGGUCAAAACACAAUUGGUGACACGGCGUGUUAAUACGAUGUUAAUGGAGACAUUUAACAAGCUCUUAACAGUGACACCCCCACUGUCUCGCGGAAAGCGGAGAUUUUAAUUGUUUUUUUUUCACCAAAUUUCAAAAUCCGGAUUAUAAAACAUGGGGGGGGAUUGUCCCCCACCUCUCAAAACAUGGGACGGAUGCA